rnacentral:rRNA from 1 species
GGGUUGUGAGGUUAAGCGACUAAGCGUACACGGUGGAUGCCCUGGCAGUCAGAGGCGAUGAAGGACGUGCUAAUCUGCGAUAAGCGUCGGUAAGGUGAUAUGAACCGUUAUAACCGGCGAUUUCCGAAUGGGGAAACCCAGUGUGAUUCGUCACACUAUCAUUAACUGAAUCCAUAGGUUAAUGAGGCGAACCGGGGGAACUGAAACAUCUAAGUACCCCGAGGAAAAGAAAUCAACCGAGAUUCCCCCAGUAGCGGCGAGCGAACGGGGAGCAGCCCAGAGCCUGAAUCAGUGUGUGUGUUAGUGGAAGCGUCUGGAAAGGCGUGCGAUACAGGGUGACAGCCCCGUACACAAAAAUGCACAUGCUGUGAGCUCGAUGAGUAGGGCGGGACACGUGGUAUCCUGUCUGAAUAUGGGGGGACCAUCCUCCAAGGCUAAAUACUCCUGACUGACCGAUAGUGAACCAGUACCGUGAGGGAAAGGCGAAAAGAACCCCGGCGAGGGGAGUGAAAAAGAACCUGAAACCGUGUACGUACAAGCAGUGGGAGCACGCUUAGGCGUGUGACUGCGUACCUUUUGUAUAAUGGGUCAGCGACUUAUAUUCUGUAGCAAGGUUAACCGAAUAGGGGAGCCGAAGGGAAACCGAGUCUUAACUGGGCGUUAAGUUGCAGGGUAUAGACCCGAAACCCGGUGAUCUAGCCAUGGGCAGGUUGAAGGUUGGGUAACACUAACUGGAGGACCGAACCGACUAAUGUUGAAAAAUUAGCGGAUGACUUGUGGCUGGGGGUGAAAGGCCAAUCAAACCGGGAGAUAGCUGGUUCUCCCCGAAAGCUAUUUAGGUAGCGCCUCGUGAAUUCAUCUCCGGGGGUAGAGCACUGUUUCGGCAAGGGGGUCAUCCCGACUUACCAACCCGAUGCAAACUGCGAAUACCGGAGAAUGUUAUCACGGGAGACACACGGCGGGUGCUAACGUCCGUCGUGAAGAGGGAAACAACCCAGACCGCCAGCUAAGGUCCCAAAGUCAUGGUUAAGUGGGAAACGAUGUGGGAAGGCCCAGACAGCCAGGAUGUUGGCUUAGAAGCAGCCAUCAUUUAAAGAAAGCGUAAUAGCUCACUGGUCGAGUCGGCCUGCGCGGAAGAUGUAACGGGGCUAAACCAUGCACCGAAGCUGCGGCAGCGACGCUGAUGCGUUGUUGGGUAGGGGAGCGUUCUGUAAGCCUGCGAAGGUGUGCUGUGAGGCAUGCUGGAGGUAUCAGAAGUGCGAAUGCUGACAUAAGUAACGAUAAAGCGGGUGAAAAGCCCGCUCGCCGGAAGACCAAGGGUUCCUGUCCAACGUUAAUCGGGGCAGGGUGAGUCGACCCCUAAGGCGAGGCCGAAAGGCGUAGUCGAUGGGAAACAGGUUAAUAUUCCUGUACUUGGUGUUACUGCGAAGGGGG